rnacentral:ncRNA from 1 species
AAAAAUUGCUCCUUAUAGCAGAAAUGCUAUUCGAAUAAGUUUUCUAAUUGCUGGAAAGCUACAUUUAGAUAAUAUGCUAAUCAGCAGCGAAAUCUUAGAGUAUAUAAUUAAGACACUAAGAUACGUUCAACGACUAUCCUAAAAGGAAUAUAAUUAAUUAAUAAUUAAUUAGAAAUGGAAACAAACUUAAAUAAUAUAAAUUAUAAGAAUUUAUAUUUAAAUAUGAAAGUUUAUGAUAUAGUCUGAUCUUAUAUGAAAAU